rnacentral:rRNA from 1 species
GAAUUCGCCCUUCGGGGUGCCCAGGCGCGAAAGCUUCACCCUGUGAGAAAUCCCGAUGAGGGAAUUCCAAGUGCUAGCACUAUGUGUUAGCUGUUCUUUUGUCUAAAAAACAGAAGAAGUAAGGGCCGGGUAAGACGGGUGCCAGCCGCCGCGGUAAUACCCGCGGCCCGAGUGGUGGUCGAUAUUAUUGAGCCUAAAACGUCCGUAGCCGGUCUUGUAAAUCCUUGGGUAAAUCGGCCAGCUUAACUGUCCGAAGUCCGGGGAGACUGCAAGACUUGGGAUCGGGAGAGGUCAGAGGUACUUCUGGGGUAGGGGUAAAAUCCUGUAAUCCUGGAAGGACCACCGGUGGCGAAGGCGUCUGACUAGAACGAAUUCGACGGUGAGGGACGAAGCCCUGGGGCGCAAACGGGAUUAGAUACCCCGGUAGUCCAGGGUGUAAACGCUGCGGGCUUGGUGUUGGGGGUCCUUUGUGGGCGCCCAGUGCCGGAGAGAAGUUGUUAAGCCUGCUGCUUGGGGAGUACGUCCGCAAGGAUGAAACUUAAAGGAAUUGGCGGGGGAGCAC